rnacentral:rRNA from 1 species
UACGUAGGGGGCAAGCGUUGUCCGGAAUCAUUGGGCGUAAAGAGCGUGUAGGCGGCCCGGUAAGUCCGUUGUGAAAGUCCAGGGCUCAACCCUGGAAAGCCGAUGGAUACUGCCGGGCUAGAGUUCGGAAGAGGCGAGUGGAAUUCCUGGUGUAGCGGUGGAAUGCGCAGAUAUCAGGAGGAACACCAAUAGCGAAGGCAGCUCGCUGGGACGGUACUGACGCUGAGGCGCGAAAGCGUGGGGAGCAAACAGG